rnacentral:rRNA from 1 species
CCUACGGGUGGCAGCAGUGAGGAAUAUUGGUCAAUGGACGAGAGUCUGAACCAGCCAAGUAGCGUGAAGGAUGACUGCCCUAUGGGUUGUAAAUUUUUUUUAUAUGGGAAUAAAAUGUUCCACGUGCGGGAGUUUGUAUGUAGCAUAUGAACAUGGAUCGGCUAACUCCGGUCCAGCAGUCGCGGUAAUACGGAGGAUCCGAGAGGUAUCCGGAUUUAUUGGGGUUAAAGGGAGGGUAGGUGGGUAAGUAAGUUAGUUUUGAAAGUUUGGGGCUUAACCGGUAGAUUGCAAUUGAAACUGGCAGCCUUGAGUACAGUUGAGGUAGACGGAAUUCGUGGUGUAGCGGUGAAAUGCUUAGAUAUCACGAGGAACUCCGAUUGCGAAGGCAGCCUACUAAACUGCCACUGACAUUGAUGCUCGAAAGUGUGGGUAUCAAACAGGAUUAGAUACCCUUGUAGUC